rnacentral:lncRNA from 1 species
UUCGAUUCCUCCCGCGGCAAGGUAAAACCCAAUCUCCCUUCUCCCUUUUUUUUUUGUGGUUUGUGGGAGGCUCUUGGUUGAUGCCCUAGGAAGGGAGGGAGGAGAUCCUUGGCCUGAUUUGGUAGGGUUUUAUCACCCUAUAACUUCCCUUCCGGUGGAUUCGGGAGGAGGGGAAGGCAUUUUGAAACAGGGGAGGGAGGGCAUUUCAAUCGGAAGACUCCCUCCCCCUUUUUCAUGUUUGGGCUGCCCUUGCUUAG